GCCUAAAUAAGGAUUUGUUCAACGGACCAUAACCAUUCAUGGCUCAAAGAGGGUUAUACUACUUUUGUGCCUGGAAACGUUUCUAGCAAAGUCUUCAUUUCCUGGACCAAAGGAUGUGUGAUUUAUGCGAAGAUCUGCCCUCCUGUUGCCUCAUGGGCUGGGACCUUUGGAGAGACUCUUUGUGUAUUCUCAAGAAAGGCUUAGUAUUUAGAAGGUGCUCCACUCCUUUUCUGAGAAGACUCUUUCCCUGAUUCUCUUCCAAAGCCCUGAUUAGAAUGAAACUAACAUCUAUUUGAAAAGGUAAUCAUUCUCACUCAGAUGAGUUCUGCUCUGAAAGUGAGAGGAAAAAAAAUCCAGAAUUGGGGCACUGCUAUAGACUGAAUGUUUAUGUCUCCUUCAAAUCAGAUGUUGAAACCUAAUCCCCAGUGUAAGGGUAUUUGGAGGUGAGGCCUUUGGGAGGUGAUUAGGUCACGAGGGUGGAGCCCUCAGGAAUAAGAUUAAUGCCCUUAGAAAAGAGACCCUAGAGAGGUCGCUUACCCAUUCUGCCAUAGCAAAGGGACUGCUGCCUUAUGAACAGGAAGUGUGCUGUCCCCAGAAACCAAGAUUAGUGCCUUG
rnacentral:lncRNA from 10 species